GUUUUUUUCUAAUUUAGACAUCCAUUUUGGUGGUUUAUUACAUAACACACCAAAUUAUUACAUUUUCAUGAUAAAAAAACAUGCAACACCUGCAUUUUGUAAUUACUGAUGCAAUAUGUUAUACAUGUAUGUAAUAGUUAAUACAUAAUGGGGCGUUAUUACAUAAUGUGGCGCUACAAGCCUUAAAAUUGCUUGAAUGGAGAGCAGCGGCAGACAGAAAGCUCUUCAGUCUUGUUUUAAAAGAGGUGAACCAGGAGAUGAGGUAUACUAAUAUUAAUGUGGGCAACAUAUCAUGAAUGUAUUGUAUCAUGAAUUACUUUGUGAUUCCUACCCCUAUGUAUCAGCCAGAAAUGAUGAUUAAAGACUGUAGGUGACGCAGCUUACCAUCCUUUUUAUUCAGCGCUGCACCAUUGGUCUCCAAUCGCUCUCUUUUUAUCCGUGUCUCUCUCCCUCCUCCUGCUCUCUUUCUGUCUGUGCAGCUGCAAUCUUCACAGCUCUAAUCCCCUCUUCUCUCCCCUGUGUGCUGGAACGCCAUUCAACUAUUUAACCACAGCCCCGAAACAAACCAACAUCUGUUUGGAGGCCAGCCCAGACCCAGCCACUGCCGUCCUGCUGCGAACACACCAGCCGCCGCCAGCUUAACCCCUUGCUUCCCAGAUGAGAUGCAGGCUCGCUAGGCCAGCAGCUCAGUCAGCCAACAGGAGAAUUGUGUGUUCACUCGCAGAGAGUAUAGCUUUCCACCGCUGGGAGGAGGAGGUUUUCAAGUGCUUAACCAGAAUGGGCACAAGGGCCGGAGCUGGGUGAGCGGGCAACAGAGGCAGGCUCAGAAACCCCUAUGGACAUGAUGAAGAGGUGAAGAGACCGAACAAGAUGUUGAUGGAGAAGGCUAAUAAUCAGGCUCUACCGAUCUCCCUCUCCCUCCCAGGACCACAAAAAUAUAUAAUAAAAACAUCAAAUAUGCUAUUAUUUCCUAACUGUGUUUAGAGCUGUUAAGUGGUGUUAAUGGCAAUGUACGUUGGCUUGUUAAAACAAACAGCCAAUGGUGGUGCUGAUGAAGCGGACUGUGAGCUGUAGCUUCCCUGCUGGUAAACACACCAACUGUUUGAUACAUCGGCAGUGUCUUUGCCUCGUUAGGUGAAGCAGAUGGGAUGGGUGGUGGAGCAAUGGCGCGACAGCUCGCCCUUCCGACAGCCACCUGCUUGCUCCACCUAACGAGCUUAGAGUCACUCUUGCAGUGAAAAGCAGCUUUGGGGAACGAUCGAUAAGGUCAGACUAUUACUACAGCUACAACUUACAACACUGCUGAAAACAAUACUAUGACAAGGAGCAACAUUAAAUGCAUUCAUACUGACUUGUCUUGUUAGAUCCAUGAGCUGUACAAGCAAAAAUAACCACACGAUAGCUUGGUAGGGAUCAUCACAGUCCAACAACCAUACGGCAACAUUUUUAUCGUAAUAUCGCAAAACUUGGUAAGUCUUUACAUCCCUACUGAGCAUGCAUAUUAACUUCAAGACAUCAAGACAUCAACACAAAAAUUAUAGAGAUUCUUGAAAUUCCUGUUAUGAGCGCCGCAGUGCUGAGAAAUGGUCCAUCUGGAGACAGCAGUGCCAACUGUUCACCGGUGAAAGAUGCAAAGUGCACUAAUCUCAGUGAAACAAGAGGUUGUGGGAUGCUGUUGAAGA
ensembl:lncRNA